CCUUUCGGGUAGGGGUAAGGCUCGUCUACAUAUUACCCUCCCCAGACCUCACUUUGUGGGACAUUACUGGGUAGUUAUUGUUGUUGUAGUAGUAUGUUUGCUUUUAGGACUUAUGUUUUUCACGAGUCUUUAGUCCUAUUGGAGUUUUAUAUGCCAGUGAUAUAUAGAAGCCAACCGCAACUUUGCUCUCGCAUUAAGGCGUAGUAGUUCUUGUUUUGUGUACAGGUUCUUAGGGAUAUGGUCACCUUUCAGCAAAUUACCGUGGAAUUUGUUGAGCAACUAGAGUGUAGAACGAGAGAAUGACAGAGUUGUGACAUAAUGAAUUUUCUUGUUGAAUGAGCAAGGGAAAAAAUCUAGGUCAACAACAGUCAUUUUUAUUUGGUGAAUGAAACAGUUCUGACUCUUCUUUUCUAUGUGAUUACUUUCUGCAUUUGUUGUCCAUAAGACCUCUCCAUAACUAGCCCAAGCAGAGAGAAUAGUGGGGAGCACGUAGCUGCAAUUCAUUGGUCUGAUAGCACAUUAGAGCUAACUGUAUUUAUUUUUAGAAACAUUAGUUUUGUGUUAAACAGGGGAAAAAUAUUGUUACCUAGCAUCUUCAGAAAAGUUUGACUUGUCGUUAUCCUCUGGACUGAAAUAAAUGUGUAUGCCAUUAAAGAUUACGCUGAGGGUAGUGUUAUCAAAGGCGAAAAGCACAAAAGAGCUUUAAGGUCCGUGGGCUUUAAUGAAGAAAGGCACAAAGGAGAAAAAUACAUCUUUGUGUAGUCCAAGACUAAUAAUUAUGAGUAUCUAUAACAAACAUAUGGACAAAGAAGUUGAAAAAAAAUGCGAUAAAGUGAAAUAUCAAUGUCUCGUUGUGGUAGAAUAGUACUCCACCUGUCCCCCAUCCGAUUUGAGUUCCGGUCGGUGACAGCGGCUGAUUGCUUUUUCUUAUCGGGGGUUUUGACUUUCCUUCCUGUUCCCUGACCUGUAGAGCGGUUUAUCCCUGACUAUCUUAGGGGCAUAGGGGAGAUCGGAGCAACAGGGAACAACUUGAUGACGUUUUUAUUCUUGAGCUGCAGUAAGUAGAUCGAGAGGUCGUUCCGCCCCUUGUCCCCGAAUUGUUUAGUGUCGCAUCCUCAUGAUUACACUCAUUAUCAAGGAAAAGUAUACCUUAGAGCCUUGAUGAUGAUAUUGAAGUUCUCGCUAAACGAGGUGAAGCGCUUAACAUGUUUUGCGCUUCGCUUCAAGGCUUAAACGCGCUUUAAGCGUGCCUUUGACAUCACUGGAUGAGACUUUCAUGGAAGUCAAAUCUUCACUUAAAUGCGCUAAUUUAGCUUGGAUACUCUCAGAAGUUUUAUCCAUACCAUGUCAAUUUACUACAAUGGAGUGUUCUAGUUUGCAUGUUAACAACAACUACAAUGGAGUGGUCUAGUUUGCAUGUACUUGCUGAAAAAUAUUUUUUACGUAUCAGAUUUACAAAAAAAAUGGCAAAAUCAAUGUUGAUCAAAACUAGUGAUGGUCCCGGUUUAAUACAUUUUGCUUGGAAUACAUUACAGCAACAAUGAAUAAGUAUGUAUUCCUUCCUCCAAUUGUUGGAAGUGGAGCAUCUUGGGUGUAUUGAUCUUUAUGCCAAAAAGAAUGGAUGUGGCCACUCACUCGUUCCCCUCAUAGAAAAACUAUUAUCCUAUUUUCUGUUUUUGUCUCCGCCUCCUACAUAAAUUAAGAGCACUUGAUAAAUUUGACAAGGUUGAAGUUUCUUUAUCUUCUUUUUUUUUGAAAAAAAAUGGUGGUGACUGGACCGAUUUGUGUGCGCCUUGAUUUUUUAAAGGUGCCUACCAAGAGUUAAAGUAUCUUUAUCUAGUGAAGGUUGAAAAGUUCAUUCUAUUUGUAAUAGAGAAUAGAUAAUAAAUACAGAUGAUACCUUUUAUUUGUGCCACCAGAUCACACAACUAUUUACAGACAUAUUUAGGAAGCUUCACUGGUAGUGUUAUCAAAGGCGAAAAGCACAAAAGAGCUUUAAGGUCCGUGGGCUUUAAUGAAGAAAGGCACAAAGGAGAAAAAUACAUCUUUGUGUAGUCCAAGACUAAUAAUUAUGAGUAUCUAUAACAAACAUAUGGACAAAGAAGUUGAAAAAAAAUGCGAUAAAGUGAAAUAUCAAUGUCUCGUUGUGGUAGAAUAGUACUCCACCUGUCCCCCAUCCGAUUUGAGUUCCGGUCGGUGACAGCGGCUGAUUGCUUUUUCUUAUCGGGGGUUUUGACUUUCCUUCCUGUUCCCUGACCUGUAGAGCGGUUUAUCCCUGACUAUCUUAGGGGCAUAGGGGAGAUCGGAGCAAC
rnacentral:lncRNA from 1 species